rnacentral:rRNA from 1 species
CCUACGGGCGGCAGCAGUGAGGAAUAUUGGUCAAUGGGCGCGAGCCUGAACCAGCCAAGUCGCGUGAAGGACGACUGCCCUACGGGUUGUAAACUUCUUUUAUAUGGGAAUAAAAUGAGGCACGUGUGCCGUUUUGUAUGUACUUUAUGAAUAAGCAUAGGCUAACUCCGUGCCAGCAGCCGCGGUAAUACGGAGGAUCCGAGCGUUAUCCGGAUUUAUUGGGUUUAAAGGGAGCGUAGAUGGGUUGUUAAGUCAGUUGUGAAAGUUUGCGGCUCAACCGUAAAAUUGCAAUUGAUACUAGCAGUCUUGAGUACAGUCGAGGUAGGCGGAAUUCGUGGUGUAGCGGUGAAAUGCUUAGAUAUCACGAAGAACUCCGAUUGCGAAGGCAGCUUACUAAACUGCCACUGACAUUGAUGCUCGAAAGUGUGGGUAUCAAACAGGAUUAGAUACCCCGGUAGUC